UUAAUUUGUCGGCCCACUUUAACGCUCGGUCGCUCCGCCUUCGGGGGCGACGCGGGCAGCGAAACAGGCCGCGCCGCUCCCGACCCCCCUCCUCCCCUCCCCCACCUCGCCGCUGCCCGAGCCACCGCCGGCAAAGCCAGGCGGCUGCAAGGACGGCGGCGGCGGGGCUCUCUUCCCUCGCUCGCAGUCAAGCUGGGCGCCGGCAAGACGGAGCUCAGGGCAAGGCGCCGGCGCCGAGGAGAAACCGACGGCGGCGUCCAGAUCCGGCGCUGGGAUGCAUGGAUCCGACCCCCCCCCCCCCCAUGGCUGGAUUUGUUGCUCCGGGCGGCGGACUGCCGGGGACGGCGAGUGGGCGGCGCGGAGGUGGCAGUGUCGGUGGCUGGAGUGGCGGCGUGGCGGAGGAGGCAGCGGCAUGGCCAUGUCUGCAGUGGCAGGCGGUGGCCGUGGCCAGAUCUGAUCGGUCGGCUGGCGCUGGAGGUGGCUGCUGCGGUGGCGGCGGCGGCUGCGGUGCCGGCGGCGUCUGCGGUGGCUGGUGACGACGGCGACAGCUGA
rnacentral:lncRNA from 1 species